UCUUCUUCUCCUUAGAUCUCUAAAUUUUUUUAAUUUUUUAAUUUUUUUAUUUUUUUAUUAUUUUUUUUACUAUUUUUUCUUAUUUUUGGAUCUCUUAUUUAUAGAUAAUUUUUUUACCUUUUUCUGAUAGCAAAUGGAGUCCUAAAAUCCCUCAAAAUCAUGUUAAACCCAUGUCAUUUAAUUCUAGCUGUUGGAUCAUGUUUGGACCGCCUAGAUCGCAUCAAAAAUCAUAGUUCAUCUCCUUAUUACAAUCGGGAUCAACCACAGUCAUUGGAUCACAUGAUUGAUUUGAUUUCAGUCAUUGAUCAACAUUCAGAUUCUCCUAUUCACAAUUGGAAAUGCUUCUGACCAUC
rnacentral:lncRNA from 1 species